GGUUUUACAUCUCCUUGAUUUAUGGAAUUUUAUGUACCUUUGAAUAUCUGUUUUAGUCAAGAAUAAUAAGUUAUGUUGUAUUUGCAUUAUUCAUCCAAUAUUCCUUGAUAUUGAGUCAUAUAUCAAGCUUUGUUUAUUAUGCAUGUGGAAAAUAAGAUAAUAAGAAAACAAGAUAACUGUUAUUUUAUGUCAGAAAUGUAUUUACGGUAAUUGAAAAAGAGGUAAUGUUAUUAUUUUGAAUACCAUGUUAGUAAAGUAAAGAAAUCGAUAUUUCAAAAGUCAAAAGUGUUAAUUAAGGUCUUGUUUUAAUUUGUAUUUUAAUGGGAACCUUUUUAAAAUAUUACAUGUGUAUAUUGAUGUAAAACUGUGCACAAACAAACUUAUAACAUGAUUUGCCAUUAUCGACAUGAAAAUUUUAUUGAAACAUACUUUGUACAUAUUUAAUUUUAAUUUUUUCCUAUUUCUUUAAACUGAUAUCAUACUGUCAAACGUUUUCACAUUUGAGUCUAUUAAACGUCUUAUUAUGUCUUUAAAUAU
rnacentral:sRNA from 1 species